rnacentral:rRNA from 1 species
UACAGAGGUCUCAAGCGUUGUUCGGAUUCAUUGGGCGUAAAGGGUGUGUAGGUGGCGCGCUAAGUCGGGUGUGAAAUUUCGGAGCUUACUCCGAAACUGCAUUCGAUACUGCCGUGCUUGAGGACUGGAGAGGAGACUGGAAUUUACGGUGUAGCAGUGAAAUGCGUAGAUAUCGUAAGGAAGACCAGUGGCGAAGGCGGCUCUCUGGAACGUUCCUGACACUGAGGCACGAAAGCGUGGGGAGCAAACAGG